rnacentral:rRNA from 1 species
AUUGAACGCUGGCGGCAGGCCUAACACAUGCAAGUCGAGCGGAUGAAGGGAGCUUGCUCCUGGAUUCAGCGGCGGACGGGUGAGUAAUGCCUAGGAAUCUGCCUGGCAGUGGGGGAUAACGUCCGGAAACGGGCGCUAAUACCGCAUACGUCCUGAGGGAGAAAGUGGGGGAUCUUCGGACCUCACGCUAUCAGAUGAGCCUAGGUCGGAUUAGCUAGUUGGUGGGGUAAAGGCCUACCAAGGCGACGAUCCGUAACUGGUCUGAGAGGAUGAUCAGUCACACUGGAACUGAGACACGGUCCAGACUCCUACGGGAGGCAGCAGUGGGGUAUAUUGGACAAUGGGCGAAAGCCUGAUCCAGCCGUGCCGCGUGUGUGAAGAAGGUCUUCGGAUUGUAAAGCACUUUAAGUUGGGGGGAAGGGCAGUAGGUUAAUACCUUGCUGUUUUGACGUUACCAACAGAAUAAGCACCGGCUAACUUCGUG